rnacentral:rRNA from 1 species
UAUCUCUGUAGAGUCUGCAUAUCAAUAAGCGGAGGAAAAGAAACUAACAAGGAUCCCCUUAGUAACGGCGAGUGAAGCGGGAAGAGCUCAAAUUUGAAAUCUUCAAGGUUCUACCUUGACGAAUUGUAGUUUAAAGAAGUGUUUUCUGUUAGAUGAGUAGCAAAAGUUCCUUGGAAUGGGACAUCAUAGAGGGUGAGAAUCCCGUAUUUGGUUAUUCAUUCUAGCUUUGUGAUACACUUUCAAAGAGUCGGAUUGUUUGGGAAUGCAGUCCAAAAUGGGUGGUAAAUUUCAUCUAAAGCUAAAUAUUGGCGAGAGACCGAUAGCGAACAAGUACCGUGAGGGAAAGAUGAAAAGAACUUUGAAAAGAGAGUUAAACAGUACGUGAAAUUGUCAAAAGGGAAGCGUUUGACACCAGUGUUGUUUUUCCGAAAAUCAAUUACGAAUGGCUUGAUUUUGUGUUGUAUUGACCUUAUCAGCUUUCUUCACUUUUUUCGAGUCUUUCUUAAUGCACUUUUCGGUUAACAAGUCAACAUCAAUUUCUUUUGUUGUAAAAGAGUAUUCGGAAGGUGGCUUUCUUUUCGGAGAAAGUGUUUAUAGCCCUAUACUUCUACAAUCGGAGAGAUUGAGGUCUGCAGCGUAGAUCCUUCGGGGUUAGAUACACUUGUGCUAAGUUGUAGCUUUUCAUAGACAACUUGUUGACUAUGUUUAGUCAUGCGGCUUACUCGCUUGUGCUAUUUUACCUACGCUUAGGAUGUUGACUGAUAUGUAGUCGUA